rnacentral:rRNA from 1 species
AGUCGAACGAGAUCCUUCGGGGUCUAGUGGCGCACGGGUGCGUAACGCGUGGGAAUCUGCCCUUAGGUUCGGAAUAACAGUUAGAAAUGACUGCUAAUACCGGAUGAUGACGUUAAGUCCAAAGAUUUAUCGCCUGAGGAUGAGCCCGCGUAGGAUUAGCUAGUUGGUGUGGUAAAGGCGCACCAAGGCGACGAUCCUUAGCUGGUCUGAGAGGAUGAUCAGCCACACUGGGACUGAGACACGGCCCAGACUCCUACGGGAGGCAGCAGUGGGGAAUAUUGGACAAUGGGCGCAAGCCUGAUCCAGCAAUGCCGCGUGAGUGAUGAAGGCCUUAGGGUUGUAAAGCUCUUUUACCCGGGAUGAUAAUGACAGUACCGGGAGAAUAAGCCCCGGCUAACUCCGUGCCAGCAGCCGCGGUAAUACGGAGGGGGCUAGCGUUGUUCGGAAUUACUGGGCGUAAAGCGCACGUAGGCGGCUUUGUAAGUUAGAGGUGAAAGCCUGGAGCUCAACUCCAGAACUGCCUUUAAGACUGCAUCGCUUGAAUCCAGGAGAGGUGAGUGGAAUUCCGAGUGUAGAGGUGAAAUUCGUAGAUAUUCGGAAGAACACCAGUGGCGAACGCGGCUCACUG